UAAACUUAGCCAUUAAAAGGGGCCCUAUAGUUUUUUCCUUCUUAAGGAACAGUAAAGAUCGAAUGGAAGACAAAAACAAAGUGGGUGUUUACAGUAUCCCGGUAAAGGAUAAGCGGUCUGGCCAAAAUAAGGAAUACAUUCGAGUUACAACAUGUACCUUAACGGAAAGGCUAAAUGAACAUAAAAAUGAUUUGAUCAAAGGAAAUUUAACCACUGCUUUAGCACAGGAAUGUUACGCAUCUGAUAUCGAUGUAUUAUGGGACAGUGCCAAAAUUGUUAAGAGAGUUAAUGGUAUGAAACAAGGACUGUUAAGAGAAUCUUUCGA
rnacentral:lncRNA from 1 species